rnacentral:rRNA from 1 species
AGUAUCUUCGGAUAUGAGUAGAGCGGCGGACGGGUGAGUAACGCGUAGGAAUCUACCUAGUAGAAGGGGAUAGCCCGAGGAAACUCGGAUUAAUACCGUAUACCUCCUUCGGGAGAAAGAAGGCCUCUCUUUGAAGCUUUCGCUACUAGAUGAGCCUGCGUAAGAUUAGCUUGUUGGUGAGGUAAAGGCUCACCAAGGCUACGAUCUUUAGCGGGUCUGAGAGGACGAUCCGCCACAUUGGGACUGAGACACGGCCCAGACUCCUACGGGAGGCAGCAGUGGGGAAUAUUGGACAAUGGGCGAAAGCCUGAUCCAGCCAUACCGCGUGUGUGAAGAAGGCCCUAGGGUUGUAAAGCACUUUAAGUUGGGAAGAAAAGUUAUUGGUUAAUACCCAAUGACCGUGACAUUACCAUCAGAAUAAGGACCGGCUAAUUCCGUGCCAGCAGCCGCGGUAAUACGGAAGGUCCAAGCGUUAAUCGGAAUUACUGGGCGUAAAGCGCGCGUAGGUGGUUUAUUAAGUUGGGUGUGAAAUCCCCGGGCUCAACCUGGGAACUGCAUCCAAAACUGAUUCACUAGAGUACGAUAGAGGGAGGUAGAAUUCACAGUGUAGCGGUGGAAUGCGUAGAUAUUGUGAAGAAUACCAAUGGCGAAGGCAGCCUCCUGGAUCUGUACUGACACUGAGGUGCGAAAGCGUGGGUAG